ensembl:lncRNA
CAUUUUUGUCCUUUAAAAUUGCUUUUCAGAACCAAAGAAAGAAAAGAAAAGAAAGAAUUUCCCUUCUAGACAUAGGGAGAUCACAUUUUGUGCCAUGUGAAGAUUGUGGGGAGAGUUAUAUUGAUCAAAAUGGAAAGAACACUGGAAAGAAUAACAAUAGAUUGGAACAAUUGUGCAGAGACAAAUAUCCUUCUCAGUCACUGGCUUUGUAAUCAGCUUGUUUCAGAAAGCUGAUGAAGAGUGUCCACCAGCCCAAGUACCAGUAAAUUAUCUGGGGAACUACAGGUCUGUCAGCCUGACCUCAGUGCCAGCAGGCAUUUUAUAUAGAAGAAAAUCUGUCCAGGAAGCAGAUUGUGUUACCUGCUAUACACACUCUUCACAACUAGACAAAGCAGCACAUCAGUCCCUUUUGGAAGAAUAACAUCAGCUCAGAGAAGAAAACUGGAAACUGGAAAUGCUGGGCAGAGUAAAGAAAAGAAGUUGCGUCUGGAAAGAAGAGGAAAGAUUACAGAAGUCUUCUUUCCAACUAAGUGGACCUUUUGGCUCGCAGGAUCAAUGUUUCAGGUUGUUCCCUUAAAUUUCUCUAUUGUUGUUUACCUGCUGUUUGCUAUCCUAAAACGUUGUUCAUGAUUGCUUUUCAGAAGCAGUAGCAUUGGGGGUAAUUGUGUAUUUGUUCCACAUUUUCACGACACUGUAACAUCAGAAGAGUUACAAAAGCGUUCUAUUUCCACCCGCAGCAUGUGGACCCUUACAUUGAUUUUGGGUCAACCUUUCUGUCAUUUAAAGGUUACUGUUCACUCUAUAAAGUAUCCUCUCAAUUCAGCUGUUACUAUGUGUUCAAGCAAAACUUACAGGCAACUGUCGCCAAGGCAGUCUUCAUGUUUGUUGUGGGUAUACAGAGCUACUUCUUAGGAGCUCCUUCGAAGUUGUAUAUUGGGAAAUCCUUAACAGAACUAUUCAUUUAGAUAGAAUUAUUUUGAAAAACUAUUAGCUAUGUCUAUAGAAGAGUUGGUUUGAACAGAGACUUCCGAAUACUGAGUUACACAAAUUGCUCAAGCUCAUGGAAUAGUUAGCUAAACUGGCAAAAUGAGGCUGUCUCAGGUGAUUUAAUUUUGAAAUUAGCUUUUCCCUGCUUUUCACAUAGCUGCAGGGCAAGAAUUGGCUCUGGUUCACCUGUGUUCACAAGAAAGUUAUAAAUAGGCCUUUUGGACAACUGAGCCUCACAGUUACUAAAACAGGAAAAAAAAAAAAAAGAGAAAAGGAAGGAAGGAAGUAGGGAAGGAGGGAAGGAAGGAAGAAAGGAGGAGGAGAAAAGAAUCUUGGGAAGAAAAUGUAGAAAAUAUUUAUUAAAACAGGCAAUGAGAUGGAACUGCUUUUGGUGGUACUGAUUUCAACAAAAGUUGUUUGUGCAUUCCAAGGAUAACAGACACUUCUAUGUAUUCUUACCAAGAGCAACGGCUCUCUCAAAAGCAGAAAUACAGAUGUAAACCUGUCCCGGUGCCAGGGGGAGUGUAUCAUAACAGGAAAUAGCUUAAUCUGGUCACACUUCUGUAAGAAAGGAUGAUUUUGCAGCCUUUUUUUUUUCUUUUUUCUUUUUCUUUUUUUUUUUUUUUUUCUGCUUGGUCACAGUAAAAAAACAGCCAGCUAAAAAAAGAAAAUAAACAUUUUUAUAGAUAUUCUAACUUAGACCACCUAUACUCUUAUGGCAAGAAAUAGAGAGAUUUAUCCCACAGGACUUUAAAUGAUGCACAUUAUGUUUCAUACUAACGAGUUUUCACCCUCUUGCCUGCACACUUACAUAGCAUGUUGAGCCAGACAAAUAUGUCUGCUUCCUAAAUCUGUUUUCCAGCUAAAUAAAAGCUAGUAGCAAACAAUGGAUUUUUUUCCAAUAAGACUGUAAAACUUCAGUGGCAUCAUUGUGCUGGAGUCAAACAUACGGUAGAGAGGCUGGGUCCAAGAGAGCUCCUAAGGGAGAUGCAGCAGAGCUGGCUGCAGAGGAGAAGAGCUGCCAGCUGCACCUCAUUUGGUUAGUUCAAGGAGAUGACUGUUGAUACAACAGUGGUCUCAGUUCUAAUCCCAUUGUGCUUUCCAAACGGGCAGCUCCAUGGAGACUGGAAUCCAGCUCCAAGUGUCCUGGGUCCAACUUCACUGCUGA